UAAUUUUGUGAAAGCCAUGUUUGAUGACGGUAACUUGGAUGUCAAACGCGGUUUGAAGAUCCUAGUCAAUCGAUCUCUCAUAAACAUAUGCAGUGUCACUGAAAACAUAGUCAUGCACAAAUUACUACAGCAAAUGGCUAAACAAACCAUUCAUAAACAAGAGCCUUGGAAACGUCAGAUCUUAAUGGAUCCUCAUGAGAUUUGUGAUGUCCUCGAGAAUGAAACAGUAAAUUAUAUCUCUUUCUUUUCUCUUUGUUUGACUUUUAUUAACUAGUACUUACUUUAAACAUGGUCAUUUGGUGGAGACGAAACAAAUCCUACAUAUUGUGCUAACUUAUUAUUUGGAAUAUUGGUUUAGGGUACCAGAGCUGUGACUGGAAUAUCAUUUGAUAGAUCUAAUAUCGAUGAAGUAUCUAUCAGCCAGAGCGCUCUUAAAAGAAUGCCAAAUCUUCAGUUCCUCAGAGUCUACCAAACAAGAGGUGAUAAAAUGCACAUACCUGAGAAGAUGGAAUUCCCACGUCGUCUAAGGUUAUUACAUUGGGAGUCAUACCCAAGAAAGAGUCUUCCUCCUAGAUUUCAUCCUGAAUAUCUUGUUGAACUCAAUAUGCGGGAAAGCCGGUUGGAAUACCUCUGGAAAGGAACCCUGGUUAGUGUUAGAACUUAAAAGAUAUGAAUAUAUACACAUUUUAUCUUCUUGUUGAAAUGAUAUUUAAUCAGCUGUGUUGUUGUGUUGUCUUACUACAUAAAGCCGCUUAGAAAUCUCAAGAAGAUGGAUUUAUUAGGGUCCGAGAAUUUGAAAGAACUCCCGGAUCUUUCAAAGGCUACAAAACUGGAGAC
rnacentral:lncRNA from 1 species